rnacentral:tRNA from 2 species
GGCCCAUUCGACUAGCGGUUAGGUCGUAAGUUUCUCACACUUAAAACAGCGGUUCGAUUCCGCUAUGGGCUA